rnacentral:rRNA from 1 species
GAUGAACGCUAGCUACAGGCUUAACACAUGCAAGACGAGGGGCAGCAUGAGGUAGCAAUACCUUGAUGGCGACCGGCGCACGGGUGAGUAACGCGUAUGCAACCUGCCCGAUACCGGGGUAUAGCCCAUGGAAACGUGGAUUAACACCCCAUAGUACUUUUAUCCUGCCUGGGACGGGAGUUAAAUGUUCAAGGUAUCGUAUGGGCAUGCGUCCUAUUAGUUAGUUGGCGGGGUAACAGCCCAACAAGACGAUGAUAGGUAGGGGUUCUGAGAGGAAGGUCCCCCACAUUGGAACUGAGACACGGUCCAAACUCCUACGGGAGGCAGCAGUGAGGAAUAUUGGUCAAUGGACGAGAGUCUGAACCAGCCAAGUCGCGUGAGGGAAGACUGCCCUAUGGGUUGUAAACCUCUUUUAUAAGGGAAGAAUAAGUUCUACGUGUAGAAUGAUGCCUGUACCUUAUGAAUAAGCAUCGGCUAACUCCGUGCCAGCCGCCGCAGUAA